GGAAAAUUGUUUGUCAAUGAUGCAAGAAGACAGUAACAUUUUUCCAGCUAAAGUUAGUUAAUUUAUGAUUUAACUGGAUGGGUUCUUGUAGUCUUAACUGUUUUUCCUCCUCUAUUAAGUUCUUCCUCGCACGGCGACAGAAGGCCCAGUACAGUGAAGCACAGGCCAGAGAGAUGGAGACCAUGUCUUAAAGCUAUUAAUAAGAAGUCUCAUGUACCCGAGUCUGAGACUGGGAUGUGCCCCAUGCUGAAGCUUAGACCAGCUGUACUUUUGCUUGUGACAUAAAAUGUGCAACACAUUAUUUUUUACUACCAAAUUAUAUGUAAUAUCUAAUCAUUUUAAUAUUUCACUUGCACUUGAAAGGUUUCCGCAACACCUUGCAAGAUCUCUGCAAAAAUUCUCACAAUUUAUUACCAGAACAUGAUGCAUAAUCCACAUAACUGAUUUAGGACAGACUUCUGAGGCAGCAUAACGGUUUAAUGAUAUACAACAAAACAGUGAGCUUUGUUGAUACCUGAGUGAAUAUUUAAUUACUACAAUAGUAAUUUUAUGCUAGAAAUAACAUUGAAACAUUCAUAACAUUUCAUCUCUGGAGACAGGGGUUUAAUUUUUAUAACUUUUUUUAAAUCAAGAAAAUAGUUCAUGUCUUAAAAAACUUUUAUAAAUACAUUAUUAAACUAAAACAGUGGCCUGAAUCUGCAGUUAAAGCUUUUUUUUAAAAAAAAGACAUCAAAACAAACAAACCUAUCUAGUUUUUAUCUAUUUCAGAUUGAGUUGAAUUGUCUAAAACAAUGAAAGCUAAAUAUAGCUCAAAUUAUCAGACCACAAACCUGUAACUUGGAAGCAUAACUUUGAGCCUAGUUAUUAAAAAUAAUAAAAGUUUUUGGACAUAUUUUGAUCCUCUGGGUGGUAAUGUCACCAGACUAAUGUUGCUCAUUUUGCAAUAAGAAGUUUCAGCAUCAGGAAGCACGACAACAGACCACCCACAGUACCUUUACUAAGUGUCUGAUGCAUAUUGCACCUUUGCUUCUGUAAAAGUUUAAUAUGAUUGGCUGGCUUCAAAAGCAACUUCAAAGAAUAAGAGUAGAGAGGAGCUGGGUUGACAUUAUGAGUCUUUUUGAGGAAAAUCAAAUCGCUGGAUUUGCCAAAAUUUGUAAAGUUGUGGCAUAAUUUCUUCUAAAGAUAAUCAGAGUUUUGUUUUCCAAAAAUAAUUAAUUUGAUACUGUCUUACUUUUAUUUGAAUUAUUAUUUUGCACACUGGUCUGCUGUUGUUGUAUAAUAUGUUUCAAUUAAACCCAUCCCCAAAUAACAUGUAGAGAGAAC
ensembl:lncRNA